rnacentral:rRNA from 1 species
GAUGAACGCUGGCGGCGUGCCUAAUACAUGCAAGCCGAGCGAACGGACGAGAAGCUUGCUUCUCUGAUGUUAGCGGCGGACGGGUGAGUAACACGUGGAUAACCCACCUAUAAGACUGGGAUAACUUCGGGAAACCGGAGCUAAUACCGGAUGAUAUUUUGAACCGCAUGGUUCAAAAGUGAAAGACGGUCUUGCUGUCACUUAUAGAUGGAUCCGCGCUGCAUUAGCUAGUUGGUAAGGUAACGGCUUACCAAGGCAACGAUGCAUAGCCGACCUGAGAGGGUGAUCGGCCACACUGGAACUGAGACACGGUCCAGACUCCUACGGGAGGCAGCAGUAGGGAAUCUUCCGCAAUGGGCGAAAGCCUGACGGAGCAACGCCGCGUGAGUGAUGAAGGUCUUCGGAUCGUAAAACUCUGUUAUUAGGGAAGAACAUAUGUGUAAGUAACUGUGCACAUCUUGACGGUACCUAAUCAGAAAGCCACGGCUAACUACGUG